rnacentral:rRNA from 1 species
GGAGUCUAACAUGUGCGCGAGUCAUUGGGUUUGAAAACCUAAAGGCGAAAUUAAAGUGAAAGGUUUUUCGCUUGCCCGAGGGAGGAUGGGCACGUCUGUAGUGAGGGUGCCCCGCACUCCCGGGGCGUUUCUCACUCAUCGCGAGUCGAGGCGCACCCAGAGCGUACACGUUAGGACCCGAAAGAUGGUGAACUAUGCCCGGCCAGGACGAAGCCAGGGGAAACCCUGGUGGAGGUCCGUAGCGAUUCUGACGUGCAAAUCGAUCGUCGGAGCUGGGUAUAGGGGCGAAAGACUAAUCGAACCAUCUAGUAGCUGGUUCCUUCCGAAGUUUCCCUCAGGAUAGCUGGUGCCCAGGUGAGACGAGUCUCAUCCUGUAAAGCGAAUGAUUAGAGGCAUUGGGGGUAGAAACGACCUCAACCUAUUCUCAAACUUUAAAUAGAUGAGAACUCCGGCUUGCUUGAAAGUGAAGCCGGAGAUUCUGAUCAUGGUGCCCAGUGGGCCAAUUUUG